GGUCAGUGAUGAGAGGUAAAAGGUCUGACUGCUCAGGGCAUUAUUCCCACAUCCUCACUCCCAGGAAACCCUGCAUUUUCUAUUCAGCUGGAGGCUUGCUGAAUGGAUACAGGUGUUCCUGACAGUAAUUGAUGCUGCUGCUUUAGAGCACAUUGAGACAUUUGGAGCAUAUCUACAGUCAGCAUUUGACACAGUAGGCUAGUCAGGAGUGUUUGGUGUUAUGGGAUUUGCCUCUGUUGCCUGACUGCAAACUAUAAACUGAGACC